rnacentral:rRNA from 1 species
AACGCUGGCGGCAGGUUUUAGGCAUGCAAGUCGAACGAGAGAGCAUCUUCGGAUGUUAGUAUAGUGGCGCACGGGUGAGUGACGCGUGGGAAUUUACCUUUUGGUGGGGAAUAACAGUUGGAAACGACUGCUAAUACCGCAUAAGCCCGUAAGGGGAAAGCUUUAUGCGCCGAAAGAUAAGCCCGCGUUGGAUUAGCUAGUUGGUAGGGUAAAAGCCUACCAAGGCAAUGAUCCAUAGCUGGUUCGAGAGGAUGAUCAGCCACACUAGAACUGAGACACGGUCUAGACUCCUACGGGAGGCAGCAGCUAAGAAUAUUGGACAAUGGGGGAAACCCUGAUCCAGCCAUGCCGCGUGAGUGAAGACGGCCUUCGGGUUGUAAAGCUCUUUCAAUUGUGAAGAUGAUGACGGUAACAAUAGAAGAAGCACCGGCUAACU